rnacentral:rRNA from 1 species
UACAGAGGUCUCAAGCGUUGUUCGGAUUCAUUGGGGUAAAGGGUGCGUAGGCGGCGCGGUAAGUCGGGUGUGAAAUUUCGAGGCUUAACUUCGAAACUGCAUUCGAUACUGCCGUGCUAGAGGACUGGAGAGGAGACUGGAAUUUACGGUGUAGCGGUGAAAUGCGUAGAUAUCUGGAGGAACACCGGUGGCGAAGGCGGCAUCCUGGACCACGACUGACGCUGAUGAGCGAAAGCCAGGGGAGCAAACGGG